rnacentral:misc_RNA from 1 species
GAUGAAGAACGUAGCGAAAUGCGAUAAGUAAUGUGAAUUGCAGAAUUCAGUGAAUCAUCGAAUCUUUGAACGCACCUUGCACCCUUUGGCAUUCCGAAGGGUAUGCUCGUUUGAGUGUCAUUGUACUCUCACUCUCCCGAUGCUUUUGGAUCGGGAGUGGUGGACUUGGGUGUUGCUGCUUUGCUGUGGCUCACCUCAAAUGGAGUAGUGCAACUCUUGGUUGGACAUAGUACGGCGUGAUAAGUGUCUUCGCCGGCGCCUCAUUAUAGAGGGUGGCCGAUCGGGAGCUCUGUGCUUCAAACCGUCUUCGGACAACAUCUGACAACUUGACCUCAAAUCGAGUAGGACUACCCGCUGAACUUAAGCAUAUCAAUAAGCGGAGGA